GGAGACCCGUGGGAGGUCUGAGCUGGAGCUGAGGCCGGUGCGUGCGGGCAGCCCCGUUCCUGGGACUCGCACGGCCCGCACCUUCGGAACGGGACACGCGUCCGGAAACGUACCGGUACGUCCUUCUCUCCCUAUGAAACACGUGGAAGACAGCCCUCAGAAAUUAAGACAUCGAAUGGUAACCAGAUAAAAUAGCAGCCCAGGCGAGCAUCCUGACCAGGGCAUAAAUAACAAAGUUAAAUUACAGACGCAGAAAUGAUGUUUGUUCACACAUACCAAAGAAAAUCAAACGACUGCUUCUGAACAGACAGAAUACUUCGGGCUUGUUCUUAGAUGCGUGCAGUAAGUGUAACCAACAGCAAUAGCAAAUGUAUUUGUUUGUACCAUAUUCCAUUUAAAGCUGCCAAAGACUGAGAAGUGUGGUACACAAAUACCGGUUUCUCCAGGAAUUAGCUGAAUACGCUUUAAGUGAGAGCGAGCUCAUUUUCUGUUCAGACAGCAAGCAUUAGGCUGCUGAGUAAGGAGCAUCAGCUGUGCCAGUUCCAUGCGGACUGAAGAGAUGGAGGUUGGACGCAGUGAGUUGUUCAGCAGGAGUACCUAAAUUUAGUCAGGGAGAGGAGGAAUCCUCACAGCAAGAUAAUGGAAACUUAAUCUUUACUACUGCUUCAUAGUACUUUUUCUUUCAUGCUUAGACACAUUAUAUGUCCCUAUUUCAAAUUUACCUGAAGGCUUUUUGGACAUGCAGUUGCUGCUGCUAUGAAGUGAACAUUCUGGAAUUUUCCUAUCUGCCUGUACAUUCUGCACUGUAACCGUAGAGAUCACAGUUCUGCAAAACCCAGUUAUAAUAAAACCUGUUUGAUAAGUCUGGGCUAACAGGGGAACUAAUUACCUAAGCACUACAGAAAUGGGCCCGAUUCCACAAAUUCAUCAAUUUACUGUGUUAUAAAAAUCAGGUCUUAGUGUUUUCUUAGGCUAGGCUGGCAUGUUCUCAGUAUUUCAAGAAGACACAGUACUAGAUACACAUUUUCUUUAUAUAUUUAAUAAAGUUAUAUAUCAACAACUUUUGGAUUUGUACUUUUGUUUGAGCAUUUAUCAUUUUGGCAAAAGUGAAAUAUUAAAUACUAGAACUAGACAUGCAUUCCUUUCAUUCAAGCUUAAGAAAACAUUUACAAAGUUGACAGAUAACAUUUAUUAAAACAUGUUAUACAAAAAAG